rnacentral:ribozyme from 1 species
UUACCCAAACAGAACCCGAAAAAAAAAAACAAAAAGGAAACACGAAAAAAAUUGUAGUAAUAGAAUUCGUUACGUUCCACCUCUCAAGUUGUCUUUUUUUUGGCGAUUUUUUUUUUUUUCCUUGAAAUUGUUUUUUCU